UACGUAGGGGGCAAGCGUUGUCCGGAAUCAUUGGGCGUAAAGCGCGUGUAGGCGGUCCGGUAAGUCCGCUGUGAAAGUCCAGGGCUCAACCCUGGGAUGCCGGUGGAUACUGUCGGGCUAGAGUACGGAAGAGGCGAGUGGAAUUCCCGGUGUAGCGGGUGAAAUGCGCAGAUAUCGGGAAGGAACACCAAUUGCGAAGGCAGCUCGCUGGACGUUACUGACGCUGAGACGCGAAAGCGUGGGGAGCAAACAGGG
rnacentral:rRNA from 1 species